CAGGUCACAUGGCUCACAGGUCACAUGCGCAAUGCAGGAAGUGUUUUCUGUGAGAAGUGAUCAGAGGACUUGAUGGGAGUUGUAAGGAGGCAGGUAGGGAAGUUACAUGUCUGUGCUCUCCUACGUACCACUGACUUAUAGCAUUGGCUGGGGGCUGUUGCUCUCUAUUGUACACAUAUGACUUGCAUACAGUACAGGGUCUGUUACACACGUUACAAAGGGGAUAGAACCAUUGCAGACAUGUAGUGGGGAAGCUCCACUGCAUUGAAGUAUCCAACAUACCCAGUGUUAUUUUAUAUUCUGCAGCUCCCUGUAUUGUGUGUGUCCUGCUGUACGUUAGACAAAGAUGUUGGUCUGGCUCCCGGGAACAGUGUGGGAAUCGCUGGUCCCUGCUGUUUCUUGCCAGCCCCCCCCCCACAUGGGUGUCUGGGGUUGACCCAUAAGCCCUCAAAGAGCACAUGACCAACACCUACUACUCUGCAUUAUGCCUUAUUAUAUUAGUGAACCCUUGAAGUGCCCACAAUAGUGUUACUGGCAAUCAGCAGGCCUGGGUGCAGGAUGUUCACUGACCAACCUCUGUGCCCCCUCUAAAGAAUCUAAAGGACUCCCUAAAAAUCCCCCCCCCCUGCCUGGGGGCUGGCAGUGAUCUGCAUCAAUGAGCCCUGCUGAUUCUGAGUUACUAUGUAUAUUAAAUACAUUGUACAGUACAGACACUGUAUUCCAGUAAAUCACUUUUUUUACUUAUUUUGUUUCAGUAACAUGGAUUUAAAGUUUAUUUUUAAGAUAAUCAUUCCUUUACUCCUAUACUGAAAAAACAGCAAUGGACUUGGGCCAAGUGGUUGCAGAUAUGGAAGAAAACCAAAGGCAGAUAGCGAGGUUUUCUGAGAGAGAUGCAAAGGGGCUCCUGGGUUGGUACAUGGUUAAAAGUGGAUUAGAAGAGAAACCCUGACUGCACAUUUGGGUUCUGCAGUUGUUCUCUACUGUGCAAGUCUUUGGACUGGCUUAUCUCUUCUGCUUCCCAGACAUAAGGUGCCUUUGUGGCUGGACUCGAUGCUGGUCUUGUCUGCAAUUCUUUUCCCAAGAUGGGAGAUCGAUGGAUCCCAGACGACCUACUUACAUUCUCUCCAGCUUUUCAAAACUUUUUUGAAUAUGCUACAACUGUUCAAUUUAAUCACAGAAUCCUUGUAAGUCAGUUUUACAUGCAGGCACCAACUGUCUACUAGUGAUCUUCUAGUGUGUUUUGGCCCAACAUUUUCAAAGGUAUCCUCAUUGAUUAAUUUGGUACAUGGCAAUCUAUAAUGCUAAACAUGCAGCAGUAGUAAUGAGAAGGGCAUAGAUACCUUGGCUAUAGAAUGCUGUAGGUUUUGGGAAUGUGACGUACUAGAUAACACAACACCUAAAAGUAAUAAAUAAUAAUAAUAUAAAUAAUAAUCUGGGCAGUUAAUUCUGCAGAUGUCCAGGGUUUAAUAUAUUUUUAAUAUAUGAUUAAACUGUGAUAAAAAGUUGCAAAUACAGGUUAAAUUGUUUGUCAUGCUUUUUGAAUUGUAUUUUCUUCUUUUGUAUAUGAUGUUUAGCAUCUUGUAUCUAAGCUUUUAGCCAUGGAUUUAGCAAUGUGUAAAAAGCAUACAAAUGUAACUGAUGUAUAAUUAUAUAUUUAUUUUAUGCAGGGGAUUAGUUCCGUGGCUGCCAUCACUGGAUUGUACUAUUUUUCCAUUGACUUUCUCUCCCACAACGAGCUGAACUGGCAUUAAACUCCUUAAUUGCUGUGGCAUAUUUACAGGUAUAUAGUUCACAGUAUCAAUUCUUCAGUUGCAGUAAGCAGGGUAGUAGGGCCAGGGGCUUUCUGCCACGAGGCAAGGUGAAUACCUUGCCUCAGACGGCAGCUCCCCUGCAAAAAGCCGCUCCUGGUAACUUUUAAGAGCCGAAUUUCCGGUUAUUAAACCAGAAAUUCGGCUUUUCUAUCACAGAGAACGAUAUUUCGCACUCUGCGCUAGCAAUGUGCCCCUCACCGCACCUCCCAUCAGAGAUCUUAAGGAAGCUUGGGGGCCGCAUUGCGAACGCCACCUCAGGCGGCGUUGAUGCCUGAAACGCACCUGAGUAGGGCCAACCUUCUUGAAACAAUUAAAGGGGUUGUUUACCUUUUAAAUUUUGAGAUUGGUAUGUUGAGACAAUUUGCCGUUGGUUUUUAUUUUUUAUUUAGCUUUUUAUUCAGCAGCUCUCCAGUUUAUAAUUUUAAUAAAUCUCAGUCACCUGUAACUAACUUUUAUACAUUACAAAAUACAAAUAUAUAUAUAAAUUAGACUAUUACAUGCA